ensembl:snRNA U6 U6 spliceosomal RNA
GUGCUCACUUGGGUAGCAGAUAUACUAAUAUUGGACCAAUACAGAGAACAUUAGCAUGGCCCCUGCACAAGGAUGACACAAAUUCGUAAACAAAGCUGGUUAAGGAU